AGGUUUCUUCUAGGUCUGUGUCAAAGUAAAUUGGGCUUGUUCACUGGCCCGCGCCCCACUCGAUCGAAGAAAUAACGUUUGUGCAGGAGAGCCGCAGGGGGACCCGACGAAGGACCUUAUCCUCCAAGCCGAAGCAGAAGUUCAGCUCAGCCAUGGCGUUGCUAACAGCAGGAGCACUACCAAUGACACCUCAACGGCUCAGCACCAGUUCUCGUUUCUCGUCUUCUCAAUCUGAAACCUUAGGCAUUUCUCUCCUCUAUUCAACUCCUUCCCUCUCAUUCUCUGCCACCACUUCCUCUCCACCAAUCCCAU
rnacentral:misc_RNA from 1 species